rnacentral:RNase_P_RNA from 1 species
CGGACAUUCGCUCGUCGUCUUUUCGGCGAGAGGAAAGUCCGGACACCGCAGAGCAUAACCCCGAUUGAAAAAUCGGAACGGCGGGGGAAAACCCCGACGUAUGAACAGUGCCACAGAAAACAAACCGCCUUCGGGCAAGGGUGAAAAGGCGAGGUAAGAGCUCACCGCCGCAAGAGCAAUCAAGCGGGCAUGGAAAACUCGGUUAGGUGCAAGACAGUGUAUGAUGUCGGGCUGCUCGUCCGCAUGGCAUCGGGUGUGUCGCGCCCCGCAAGGGGGCGUCGGAUUCCCUCCGACGCAGAUAAAUGAAUGUCGGUUCGCGCUGGAAACGGUUCGGAUUACAGAAUUCGGCUUACAGCCG